AGGGGUAUUGCUCAGUGGUAGGGCCCAUGCCUAGCAUGCACAAGGUCCUGGGUUCAAUCCCCAGUAGUUCCA
rnacentral:tRNA from 1 species